CACAGGUCUGCGCCUCCGGCCUGCGGGAUCGAAGGGAAAGGAAUCCGAUCCGGGGAGGCAAGCCUGGGAGACGUCCUUUAUUCAGGAAUAAUGGACAAAUAAAAAUUCCAUAUAUUCAGCUGGGUGCAGUGGCUAACACCUGUAAUCCCAGUACUUUGGGAGGCUGAGGUGUGCAGAUCGCUUGAGGUCAGGAGUUUGAGACCAGCCUGGCCAUCACGCUGAAUGAACUGGGAUUUCUUGGAGAAGUGGUAGAGCCAAGCUCUGGAACCGGAAAUACGCAAGGUGAGGCUGGAACACGUUGUCAAAUCAGAAAACAAGAGGCUUCGGGCAUGUGGGCAUGUCCAAAGGACUAAAGAACCAACCUGAAUAAGCUCCCUCUGGCCAAAGAUGGACUUAAUGAGCAUCAUCAUGGUAAUAAUUGUAAUGGAUUAGGGCCAGGUGCAGUGGCUCAUGCCUGUAAUCCUAGAACUCUGGGAGGCAAGGCAGAAGGAUCACUUGAGCCCAGGAGUUUGAGACCACCCUGGGCAAAAUAGUGAGACCUCAUCUCUACAAAAACCUUAACAAUUUAGCUGGCUUGGGCCGGCUGUGGUGGCUCAAGUCUGUAAUCACAGCGCUUCGGGAGGCCGAAGCAGGUGGAUCACCUGAGGUCAGGAGUUGGAGACCAGCCUGGCCAAAAUGGUGAAAUCCCGUUUUUACUAAAAAUACAAAAAUCAGCUGGGCAUGGUGGCGGAUGCCUAUAAUCCCAGCUACUCGGGAGGCUGAGGCAGGAGAAUCGCAUGAACCUGGGAGGUGGAGUUUGCAGUGAGCCGAGAUCAUGCCACUGCACUCCAGCCUGGGUGCAACAAGAGUGAAACUCCGUCUCAAAAAAAAAAAAAAAAAAAAAAAAAAAAAGAACUGGCUUGAUGUGCAUUCCUGCUCCCAGCUACUCAGGAGGCUGAGGUGGGAGGAUGGCUUGAGCUUGAGAGGUUGAGGCUUCAGUGAGCCAUGAUCGCAGCACUGUACUCCAGCCUGGGCAUGAGAGCAGGAUUUUGACUCAAUAAUAAUAAUAAUAAUAAUAAUAAAUAAAAUGUAAUGGGUUGAAACCUGUCAAACACAUUUAAAUGCUUGAGUUCAUUUUAAUAUUUUUCAUUAUCUUGAAAACUGGAUAAACAAGGAGAAGGAAUCAAGCAUUUAUCUUGACUGUCCUAUAUGAACUGGAUAGCCAGACAGUAGAUGAG
rnacentral:lncRNA from 10 species